UGUGUGAAUGACCCGGAGAGAUGGACUGGAUUCAUUGCCCUGAGCACCAAUGCCAGUGAGUGCCUGGCAGCCAGUAGGGAUAAAUAGAUCUGUGGAGAGUGGACUGGAAGUUUUCUUCAAAGGGAAUGUGCCCAAGAGACUUCCCGGAGGAGCUAAAUGAUUCAGCACACAGACCCCCCAAAGAACGCAGUGGCAUCCUUACCUUCCAAACUGGAGAAGAGAUAUCUCUUGUCUCAUGGGAGUUGCAUGUGGAGGAUGCCAGCAAGGAGAAUCUCCAAGAUACCACAAAAAGUUCCCUCUAAGAGAAACAAUCAGCCUUGAGCAUGUCUAAGCCAGAAAGCACCAGAAUCAGAUCACCAUAAACCCAGCCAGAUAAAGGCUUCUGGCGUGGAAUAGGCCAAGCAGGAAGAGGAGGAAGCCAUGAUGUUGGUUGAAGUUGUGAAUUUCAAUCACGAUCCUGGACAUGAUAGUUUACAGAAACGAGGGUAUAAUUAGAUGAAAGUAACCAGACAACUCUUCAUUGUCUCAGAGUGACCAGAAAAGCUCUGGAAGAUGCCAGAGACUUCAUCUAGGUCAGGGAAAGAAAUAACCCAUAGAGAUGAUUUCAAGGUAACAGAUAAUGUUUUCUGUUUGUGCCUUAUCAAGUUCAGCUCACUUAAUAUACUGCUUUAAUAAUUAUAGAUAUUUGUAUGUAUGUGUUGCAGUGCCCUCAGUAAUGCAAAUUGGGAUAUGUGAAUUGGGGUAUGAUUGGCUCCUCUCCUUGGCAGGUAGAAUAACACCAGGCAGAGAAACAGCAGCCAGGCCCUUCACCAAACCAAAAGAUAGAGGAUGGGUGCCUUUCAGUCUGGUAUUUUGCUGGUCUAGUCUCCCCAAGAAUAGGUUGAUUUAAUGGUUGCCUACUAACUGGGAGAUUCCUAGAAACCCUGGCCUGGUCCCAGAAACCAGGACAGACACCACCAGGUGGCACCAAACUGUAGCCAAACUGAGAAGAGAUUGGACUGGACCCUAAAAACUCCCAGCGUAGGCUUUUGUUCAUCUGUCUCCAUUUAUACAAAUGGACGUGCGACAUUUAAGGCGGGUGAUGGAAGUCUUCAACAACUGGAUUGUGGUGCUGGUUGCACAGCUCUGUGAAUCAUUGAAUUGUACAUUAGUGAAUUUUAUGGUAUUUAAAUUAUACCUUAAUAAAGCUGUUUAAAAAAUUAUAAUUAAAAAACACAUAUGGCUGAGCGUGGUGUCUCAUGCCUGUAAUCCCAGCACUUUGGGAGACCGAGGUGGGUGG
rnacentral:lncRNA from 10 species